rnacentral:rRNA from 1 species
UACGUAGGGCGCGAGCGUUGUCCGGAAUCAUUGGGCGUAAAGAGCUCGUAGGCGGUUUGUCGCGUCGGCCGUGAAAACUUGGGGCUUAACCCCAAGCUUGCGGUCGAUACGGGCAGACUUGAGUUCGGCAGGGGAGACUGGAAUUCCUGGUGUAGCGGUGAAAUGCGCAGAUAUCAGGAGGAACACCGGUGGCGAAGGCGGGUCUCUGGGCCGAUACUGACGCUGAGGAGCGAAAGCGUGGGGAGCGAACAGG